CAGCCGCGCGGUAAUACAGAGGGUGCGAGCGUUAAUCGGAUUUACUUGGCGUAAAGCGUGCGUAGGCGGCUUCUUAAGUCGGAUGUGAAAUCCCUGAGCUUAACUUAGGAAUUGCAUUCGAUACUGGGAAGCUAGAGUAUGGGAGAGGAUGGUAGAAUUCCAGGUGUAUCGGUGAAAUGCGUAGAGAUCUGGAGGAAUACCGAUGGCGAAGGCAGCCAUCUGGCCUAAUACUGACGCUGAGGUACGAAAGCAUGGGGAGCAAACAGGAUUAGAUACCCCAGUAGUCCCUGUCUCUUAUACA
rnacentral:rRNA from 1 species